GACGAACGCUGGCGGCGUGCGUAAUACAUGCAAGUCGAACGCUUCUUUCCUCCCGAGUGCUUGCACUCAAUUGGAAAGAGGAGUGGCGGACGGGUGAGUAACACGUGGGUAACCUACCCAUCAGAGGGGGAUAACACUUGGAAACAGGUGCUAAUACCGCAUAACAGUUUAUGCCGCAUGGCAUAAGAGUGAAAGGCGCUUUCGGGUGUCGCUGAUGGAUGGACCCGCGGUGCAUUAGCUAGUUGGUGAGGUAACGGCUCACCAAGGCCACGAUGCAUAGCCGACCUGAGAGGGUGAUCGGCCACACUGGGACUGAGACACGGCCCAGACUCCUACGGGAGGCAGCAGUAGGGAAUCUUCGGCAAUGGACGAAAGUCUGACCGAGCAACGCCGCGUGAGUGAAGAAGGUUUUCGGAUCGUAAAACUCUGUUGUUAGAGAAGAACAAGGACGUUAGUAACUGAACGUCCCCUGACGGUAUCUAACCAGAAAGCCACGGCUAACUACGUGCCAGCAGCCGCGGUAAUACGUAGGUGGCAAGCGUUGUCCGGAUUUAUUGGGCGUAAAGCGAGCGCAGGCGGUUUCUUAAGUCUGAUGUGAAAGCCCCCGGCUCAACCGGGGAGGGUCAUUGGAAACUGGGAGACUUGAGUGCAGAAGAGGAGAGUGGAAUUCCAUGUGUAGCGGUGAAAUGCGUAGAUAUAUGGAGGAACACCAGUGGCGAAGGCGGCUCUCUGGUCUGUAACUGACGCUGAGCUCGAAAGCGUGGGGAGCAACAGGAU
rnacentral:rRNA from 1 species